UAAUAUUAUAAGACGAGAAGACCCCAUGGAGCUUUAAACCCAAUUAUAUUCCUAACCCCCAUAGCCAUUUAAUCUCUUAGGCCCUAUAUGCUUGGUUUUAGGUUGGGGCGACCACGGAGUAAAACCAAACCUCCAUGAUGUACGGAGCAACCUCCUUAUCUAAGAGCCACAGCUCUAAGAAUUAGCACACUAUCAUAAAGUGACCCAUUAUUGAUCAACGAACCAAGUUACCCUGGGGAUAACAGCGCAAUCCAUUUUAAGAGCCCCU
rnacentral:rRNA from 1 species